rnacentral:rRNA from 1 species
AUGGCUCAGGAUGAACGCUAGCUACAGGCUUAACACAUGCAAGUCGAGGGGCAUCAGGAAGAAAGCUUGCUUUCUUUGCUGGCGACCGGCGCACGGGUGAGUAACACGUAUCCAACCUGCCCUUUACUCGGGGAUAGCCUUUCGAAAGAAAGAUUAAUACCCGAUAGUAUAAUGAUUCCGCAUGGUUUCAUUAUUAAAGGAUUCCGGUAAAGGAUGGGGAUGCGUUCCAUUAGGUUGUUGGUGAGGUAACGGCCCACCAAGCCUUCGAUGGAUAGGGGUUCUGAGAGGAAGGUCCCCCACAUUGGAACUGAGACACGGUCCAAACUCCUACGGGAGGCAGCAGUGAGGAAUAUUGGUCAAUGGGCGCUAGCCUGAACCAGCCAAGUAGCGUGAAGGAUGAAGGCUCUAUGGGUCGUAAACUUCUUUUAUAUAAGAAUAAAGUGCAGUAUGUAUACUGUUUUGUAUGUAUUAUAUGAAUAAGGAUCGGCUAACUCCGUGCCAGCAGCCGCGGUAAUACGGAGGAUCCGAGCGUUAUCCGGAUUUAUUGGGUUUAAAGGGAGCGUAGGUGGACUGGUAAGUCAGUUGUGAAAGUUUGCGGCUCAACCGUAAAAUUGCAGUUGAUACUGUCAGUCUUGAGUACAGUAGAGGUGGGCGGAAUUCGUGGUGUAGCGGUGAAAUGCUUAGAUAUCACGAAGAACUCCGAUUGCGAAGGCAGCUCACUGGACUGCAACUGACACUGAUGCUCGAAAGUGUGGGUAUCAAACAGGAUUAGAUACCCUGGUAGUCCACACAGUAAACGAUGAAUACUCGCUGUUUGCGAUAUACAGUAAGCGGCCAAGCGAAAGCAUUAAGUAUUCCACCUGGGGAGUACGCCGGCAACGGUGAAACUCAAAGGAAUUGACGGGGGCCCGCACAAGCGGAGGAACAUGUGGUUUAAUUCGAUGAUACGCGAGGAACCUUACCCGGGCUUAAAUUGCAGUGGAAUGAUGUGGAAACAUGUCAGUGAGCAAUCACCGCUGUGAAGGUGCUGCAUGGUUGUCGUCAGCUCGUGCCGUGAGGUGUCGGCUUAAGUGCCAUAACGAGCGCAACCCUUAUCUUUAGUUACUAACAGGUUAUGCUGAGGACUCUAGAGAGACUGCCGUCGUAAGAUGUGAGGAAGGUGGGGAUGACGUCAAAUCAGCACGGCCCUUACGUCCGGGGCUACACACGUGUUACAAUGGGGGGUACAGAAGGCAGCUAGCGGGUGACCGUAUGCUAAUCCCAAAAGCCUCUCUCAGUUCGGAUCGAAGUCUGCAACCCGACUUCGUGAAGCUGGAUUCGCUAGUAAUCGCGCAUCAGCCACGGCGCGGUGAAUACGUUCCCGGGCCUUGUACACACCGCCCGUCAAGCCAUGGGAGCCGGGGGUACCUGAAGUACGUAACCGCAAGGAUCGUCCUAGGGUAA